UCCUUGACAGCAAUUAAAAUGGCGGAGGCGAUUUGAAAUUGACGUCAAAAUAUUAGUUUUUUGAAUGAAAAAUACAGAAAAACUAUAGCUCAGCGCGAAAAAAUGUAUAGAAGGAACCACCACCAGAUAUUUAAAAGGUAUAAAAAGAAGAAACUGCUGGAACUUCAAAACAAAUGUGUUUGACUAUGACUAGUAAAGAUUUGGAUAAAUAACAGGAGUUACUUUGGGCUAUAGCUACGUGCAGAUUUAUUUCCUUGUGGCUUCCUAUGUUAAUUCUUAUUAAUUAUACACUUAAAUAUGUUUUUAGUCUCAGGAAGAUUUUUUAUUUGAUUAUUUUUGAAUAAACAUUAUUAUUAUUAUUAUCUUAAUUUCCAUUAAAUAAAUUAACUGUAAUCAAUAAAGUAAUCGUUUAAAUGUUAAUAAAUUAUCAAGUAUGA